UACGUAGGAGGCAAGCGUUGUCCGGAAUCACUGGGCGUAAAGCGCGUGUAGGCGGAUCGCUAAGUCUGUGGUGAAAGCGCCUGGCUUAACCGGGCGAGGUCCAUGGAAACUAGCGGUCUGGAGGCCGGUAGAGGGGGUGGAAUUCCGGGUGUAGUGGUGAAAUGCGUAGAUAGUCGGGAGGAACACCAGUGGCGAAGGCGACUACCUGGCCUGUUCUUGACGCUGAGGCGCGAAAGCUAGG
rnacentral:rRNA from 1 species